rnacentral:rRNA from 1 species
ACGGAAGGCAGCAGUAGGGAAUAUUGGACAAUGGGGGAAACCCUGAUCCAGCGACGCCGCGUGAGUGAAGAAAUAUUUCGGUAUGUAAAGCUCUAUCAGCAGGGAAGAAAAUGACGGUACCUGACUAAGAAGCACCGGCUAAAUACGUGCCAGCAGCCGCGGUAAUACGUAUGGUGCAAGCGUUAUUCGGAUUUACUGGGUGUAAAGGGAGCGUAGACGGUUUGGCAAGUCUGAAGUGAAAUGCGGGGGCUCAACUCCUGAACUGCUUUGGAAACUGUCGAACUAGAGUGCAGGAGAGGUAAGUGGAAUUCCUAGUGUAGCGGUGAAAUGCGUAGAUAUUAGGAGGAACACCAGUGGCGAAGGCGGCUUACUGGACUGUAACUGACGUUGAGGCUCGAAAGCGUGGGGAGCAAACAGGAUUAGAUACCCUGGUA